rnacentral:tRNA from 1 species
ACUCUUGUCGUGUAAUUGGAAACAUAACUCCUUUUAGAGGAGGAUAAGGGGGGUCAAAUCCCUCCUAGAUUU